rnacentral:rRNA from 1 species
UACGAAGGGGGCUAGCGUUGUUCGGAAUUACUGGGCGUAAAGCGCGCGCAGGCGGUUUUUCAAGUCAGUGGUGAAAGCCCGGAGCUCAACUCCGGAACUGCCAUUGAAACUGUGAGACUUGAGGACGAGAGAGGUGAGUGGAAUUCCCAGUGUAGAGGUGAAAUUCGUAGAUAUUGGGAAGAACACCGGUGGCGAAGGCGGCUCACUGGCUCGUAUCUGACGCUCAGGCGCGACAGCGUGGGGAUCAAACAGG